GUUUCCUCAACUAUGGAUUCAUUACUCUGUGUGUAUGGUAUUUUGCAGUGGCUAGUAUCCAACAGUAAUGAAGAGUUAUUGUCUGCUCUUUGGGUUCCUGUAAGGUCAUCUUCCUCUUGAAAUUGAAUGGGAAAAUGCUUUUUCUCAUCAACGAUAGAAUUUGAUAAAAUCUCAGGAUUUGGUUGGUCAGGGGUUGAAGCUGCGUUUGGCAAAGAUUGGUUGUCACUUGAUGUUGAUGCAGAAAAACAAGGAAUUGCUGCGCUGACGUCUGGGGCCCCUUUGAUGUUGUC
rnacentral:lncRNA from 1 species